rnacentral:rRNA from 1 species
GAGGGGUAAGGUAGCAAUAUCUGAGACCGGCGCACGGGUGCGUAACGCGUAUGCAAUCUACCUUUUACAGAGGGAUAGCCCAGAGAAAUUUGGAUUAAUACCUCAUAGCAUAGCAACUUCGCAUGAAGUCACUAUUAAAGUCACAACGGUAAAAGAUGAGCAUGCGUCCCAUUAGCUAGUUGGUAUGGUAACGGCAUACCAAGGCAACGAUGGGUAGGGGUCCUGAGAGGGAGAUCCCCCACACUGGUACUGAGACACGGACCAGACUCCUACGGGAGGCAGCAGUGAGGAAUAUUGGACAAUGGGCGCAAGCCUGAUCCAGCCAUGCCGCGUGCAGGAAGACGCAUCUAUGGUGUGUAAACUGCUUUUGUACGGGAAGAAACACCUCUACGUGUAGAGGCUUGACGGUACCGUAAGAAUAAGGAUCGGCUAACUCCGUGCCAGCAGCCGCGGUAAUACGGAGGAUCCAAGCGUUAUCCGGAAUCAUUGGGUUUAAAGGGUCCGUAGGCGGUUUAAUAAGUCAGUGGUGAAAUCUGGUCGCUCAACGAUCAAACGGCCAUUGAUACUGUUAGACUUGAAUUAUUAGGAAGUAACUAGAAUAUGUAGUGUAGCGGUGAAAUGCUUAGAUAUUACAUGGAAUACCAAUUGCGAAGGCGGGUUACUACUAAUGGAUUGACGCUGAUGGACGAAAGCGUGGGGAGCGAACAGGAUUAGAUACCCUGGUAGUCCACGCCGUAAACGAUGGAUACUAGCUGUUCGGAGCAAUCUGAGUGGCUAAGCGAAAGUGAUAAGUAUCCCACCUG